rnacentral:rRNA from 1 species
UACGAGGGGGGCGAGCGUUGUUCGGAAUUAUUGGGCGUAAAGGGUGCGUAGGCGGUUUGGUAAGUCUUGUGUGAAAUCUACAGGCUCAACUUGUAGUCUGCACGAGAAACUGCCGGGCUUGAGUGUGGGAGAGGUGAGUGGAAUUCCUGGUGUAGCGGUGAAAUGCGUAGAUAUCAGGAGGAACACCUGUGGCGAAAGCGGCUCACUGGACCAUAACUGACGCUGAUGCACGAAAGCUAGGGGAGCAAACGGG